UUGGAGGGCAAGUCUGGUGCCAGCAACCGCGGUAAUUCCAGCUCCAAUAGCGUAUAUUAAAGUUGUUGCAGUUAAAAAGCUCGUAGUUGAAUUUCGGGGUCAGUAGGUUGGUCAUGCCACUGGUAUGUACUGGUCUCACUGAUUCCUCCUUCCUGAUGAGCCGUAAUGCCAUUAAUUUGGUGUUGCGAGGAAUCUGGACUGUUACUUUGAAAAAAUUAGAGUGUUUAAAGCAGGCUAACGCUUGAAUACAUUAGCAUGGAAUAAUGAAAUAGGACGUUCGAUCUUAUUUUGUUGGUUUCUAAGAUUGACGUAAUGACUAAUAGGGAUAGUCGGGGGCAUUAGUAUUCAAUUGUCAUGAGGUGAAAUUCUUGGAUUUAUUGAAGACUAACUACUGCGAAAGCAUUUGCCAAGGAUGUUUUCAUUAAUCAAGAACGAAAGUUAGGGGAUCGAAGACGAUCAGAUACCGUCGUAGUCUUAACCAUAAACUAUGCCGACUACGGUCGGAUGAUGUUAAUUUUUUAAUGACUCAUUCGGCGCCUUACGGGAAACA
rnacentral:rRNA from 1 species